ACAUGAUGCUCGCUCACAUCUAAUACCUCGACAGCUCCUUGUUGCAAACCGAUCCACUAUGCUUCUGCUUCCAGUGAUUCUCGAAUAAGCUUCUCUGUGAGCUCUCUUGGAAGACCUCGAACGCUAUCCGCCGUACCGACAUGGGCAAUCAAUCAGGAAAUUACAAAGAGGACAGAACAAAGGACCGAAUUCACUGUUGUUCUGCAUCUGCAAAAUAAGCACGGUGUGCUCUUUUUUUUUGUGAGAUACAAAAUAUGAGCAAUUGCUCACCAAUUCUUUGAUGAAUGGCAGCACUGACGGAUGUGUCAGCUUAAGCCCUCCGGCGACGCAGGUCAUGUCGCCUUGAUUAACC
rnacentral:lncRNA from 1 species